rnacentral:tRNA from 1 species
GGCGCUUUGGCGGAGUGGUUAACGCGCGGGCCUGCUAAGCCCGUUCCUUCGGGAGCGUGUGUUCGAAUCACACAGGCGUCG